rnacentral:misc_RNA from 1 species
AAGGGUAGCUUGCCCCAAUGGCAAUUGCAUUUACCAACAGUUGAGAAGAAUACAAGAAAAGGAAAGGAAACAUCGAGUCGAGGCCUAGAGGCGACUCGCACGAGGUAGAAAGACUAGUAAAAUAACCGAGUGAGUUGCUAAGGACUACUGUGCCACACUUUGAGAUUCUGCCGGGUAUUAAAAUAUACUCUUUGUACAUAUUGAUUUUGAUGUAUAUGACUGUGUGUACAUGUUGUAAAUUGGUCUUGAGCAGUUGUACAGAAUUUGUAAUAAUAUUAUUUUAGAUUUUCUAAUGUAAAUUCAGACCGAUGAAUGU